rnacentral:rRNA from 1 species
GACGAACGCUGGCGGCGUGCCUAAUACAUGCAAGUAGAACGCUGAAGAGAGGAGCUUGCUCUUCUUGGAUGAGUUGCGAACGGGUGAGUAACGCGUAGGUAACCUGCCUGGUAGCGGGGGAUAACUAUUGGAAACGAUAGCUAAUACCGCAUAAUAGUAGAUGUUGCAUGACAUUUGCUUAAAAGGUGCAAUUGCAUCACUACCAGAUGGACCUGCGUUGUAUUAGCUAGUUGGUGGGGUAACGGCUCACCAAGGCAACGAUACAUAGCCGACCUGAGAGGGUGAUCGGCCACACUGGGACUGAGACACGGCCCAGACUCCUACGGGAGGCAGCAGUAGGGAAUCUUCGGCAAUGGACGGAAGUCUGACCGAGCAACGCCGCGUGAGUGAAGAAGGUUUUCGGAUCGUAAAGCUCUGUUGUAAGAGAAGAACGAGUGUGAGAGUGGAAAGUUCACACU